rnacentral:rRNA from 1 species
UUCCUACGGGACGCAGCAGUGGGGAAUAUUGGGCAAUGGGCGCAAGCCUGACCCAGCAACGCCGCGUGAAGGAAGAAGGCCCUCGGGUUGUAAACUUCUUUUAUUCGGGACGAAACAAAUGACGGUACCGAAUGAAUAAGCCACGGCUAACUACGUGCCAGCAGCCGCGGUAAUACGGAGGAUGCGAGCGUUAUCCGGAUUUAUUGGGUUUAAAGGGUGCGUAGGCGGGAUGCCAAGUCAGCGGUCAAAUACGGGGGCUCAACCUGCGUCCGCCGUUGAAACUGGCGUUCUUGAGUGGGCGAGAA